AGCUACAGAAAAUUUGCAGCUAAUUAUGUUCAUCGGGUCGCAUUGGAUUGACUGAUUACAAUGUAACACCCGCCUAGGGGUCAAAUUUUGCACGCUGUCAUGUGUGUGUGACCGUGAUCCAUGCAGCGGGCCAGUCACAGACUGGCGGAACGAGUGCAACACGAACUAUUUUAAUGGACUUGGCAUGGCACAGCCGUGGCCAUGUGAGAAGAAGAAGAAGACAUCUGUGGCUGUGCCACCAGACUAUGCCAUCUCCAAUCAUCUAUCAGUGUGUGUAUGUGUAUGUGUGUGAGUGUGAGUGUGCACACGCCCGUUAAUCAGCUUUGCUUGGAGGCCUUUCAUCAAAGCGCAGGCGGCACCCACAACAGCAACAACAACAACAGCAACACAAAAACGAAACAGAACUGAAAAGAGAUUAAGCAUACGACGUGUUGUGCAGUUAACCGAACUCCUAGCAACAACUACAACAACAACCAAAUGGUCAACUAACGGUUUGGCAUGCGUUGUUGACGCUCAGACUGCUGCAAAGGCUUUUUUCACUCUGAGAUUUCGACUGCGACCUGGCGGCAAUUGUAAUUUAUGAUUCGAAGCGCACGGCGUUCAAAUGAUCUAUUGGCGCGCCGUCAUUCGCCCCAUUCAAGUGAUUUUCUUAAGAGGCGGCUCGUUGCACUCUUCAUCAUACGCUGGGCACUUGUUGCAGCGGCAUUUAUAUAUGUACAUAUAGACAUACAUAUAUAACAUAACAGUUAAAAUGAAUUAUUGCAGCGCAUACGACCGCCCGACCCAAGGGCCUUCAACUGUUAUCAAAGUGUUAUACUAGAUGUGGUCAACUUGAUGAAUGACUCGAAUGAAGUCUACAUGAGACUGGGUAGACCGCAAGUCCAUGACUGUUAUACUAGAUGUUGGCAGUUGAAUGAUGAAUGGAUUACAUUCAAGUGUUAUAAAAGUCUUAAGCUGGACACUAGAGAUGGAUAAUGAAUAGAUUAACUUUCUGCAUGGGCCGCCUGCCCUCAAGGACCUUCAACUGUGAAUGUUAGGAGGAUGCGUCGACUGCCCACACAAGACUGUUAUAAAAGUGAUAUACUAGAUAUACAACGGAAUGUUAUAAACUAAUUAAAUCAAAAGGAGGCUGAGUAAAUUGCCGCCUCGAAAGGCCUGGACUGUUAUAAAAGUGUUAUACUAGCUGUAAGCAACCGAAAAUUUCGACAGCUGUUAUACUUAUAAUUGAUAUAAUAUACUUUGUCAAUGGA